rnacentral:lncRNA from 10 species
AAAGCUGACAAGGCCUGGCUUCAGGGGCCUACAGUCCUGGACACCAGGUCCUUGAGGACUGGAGAGCUACAUCUGGUUGGGGUGGGUGGUGACUGAAGGACUGGACUCCUGGGUCCUGGGAGGCUGCAAGGGCCUCCAUAUGGGUCCAGAGAAUACAAGGGGUCUGGAUUAUUGGAUCUAAAUGCCUCGCUGCUUGAUCCAGAAGUCUGGGCACCUUCUCUCUCAGGACCAGAGACCAAGCCCCCAGCCCAUUCUCCUUCAGACCCAGGAGUUCACUCUUCUUGCUCUGCUUCCCAAGGGUCCCAGGGGCCUGGACCUUUAACUCCUAGCUCAAGGAUCCAUGAACCAAAGCCCCCAGGACCUUUCUUUAAGGAUCAUCCAAGCAGGCACCAGCACCAUGCCCACUGUGGAUGCAGCACCUCAGGAUUAGGGUCUGGAUCUCCACGCUUGCUUUUUGGAGGAGUAAGGUCGCCAACUUGUCCUGGCUCCUCAGAAAUCAGAACAAUCCAUUAUGGCAAGUUGGAGAUCCCAGGACUCUUCCAUUGGAAAGAUGUCACACGCCUGGCGCAGUUGGCGAUUCC